rnacentral:sRNA from 1 species
GCCAGGCAUGGUGGUGCAUGCCUGUAAUCCCAGCAGCUUGGGAGGCUGAGACAGGCGAAUCAAGAGUUCAAAGCCAGCCUCAGCAACUUAGUGAGGUCCUUAGCAACUCAGUGAGACCCUAUUUCUA